GACGUAGGAGGCGAGCGUUGUCCGGAUUCAUUGGGCGUAAAGAGCGCGCAGGCGGCUUGGUAAGUCGGAUGUGAAAACCCGAGGCUCAACCUCGGGCGUGCAUCCGAUACUGCUCGGCUAGAGGUAGGUAGGGGAGAUCGGAAUUCCUGGUGUAGCGGUGAAAUGCGCAGAUAUCAGGAGGAACACCGGUGGCGAAGGCGGAUCUCGGGGCCUUACCUGACGCUCAGGCGCGAAAGCUAGGGGAGCGAACUGG
rnacentral:rRNA from 1 species